rnacentral:lncRNA from 1 species
GGACCAAUGAUGAGUACCAUGGGGUAUCUGAAACAGGAUUUUUGAUUAAACCCAUAUGCAAUUCUGAGGUCCAUUACAAAGAGACACGUAUUAUUCCUUUUUUGGGAAGUGAGCCUAUGGUACCUUUUCCUUGGACUUUGUGGUUCUUGGGGAUGGAUUGCAUUUUUGUUAUAAAAUCAGCCCAUGAAUUAAAAAUUUAUCAAUGAGUAAAACAUAAAGCAUAAGUCAUGUACUUAUUAUCAGCGAAUGUAAUGAAACAUGGAUUAUUAUUAAAACUUAUCUGAGACUCCCAAUAAAUUAAUACCCAAGGCUUCUACCAUUCUGGUAAGGAGCAUAUGGUCAUUUGUAUGCAAGAGUCAGUUUUUGUUCUGUGUUGGUGGUGGGUUGCUAACUAUUUUAUUAAGAAAAUGAAGCAUCUUUAAUCAUGUAAAUAGUUGGUUAAACAACCACUUAAUUGAGACCAAGCAGAGACCAAUGAUGAGUGUAUUAAUCUAUUUUUUAAUGGAUUUUUAUUAAACAAAUAAAAAAAAGAAACACAGUCUAUUCUUCCUGAGGGCAAUGACUCUAGACAGAUGUAAAUAUUCUUCAGUGUUCUUGUCCAGUGCUGUGAGAUCACAGAUACUGAUGACUUUUGUAUAUGAGAAGGAAGGUGCAUUUUUAUGUCUCAGUUUAUAUUUUAGAGUCAGCAAACCAUGGACCAAUUAGGAACAAAUGUUAUGAUAUGAGAAUGCUGAUUCUUGUUUUUUUUUUUUUUCAUGAUAGACAUUCUAAGAAAAACUCUAGGCUCUCUCAUUGUUUUUGGAAUACAUACAUGGUCCUUUCCAAGUAGUUUCUUAGAAAAAUGUUUUUAAAAAGAGGCUUUUAAAAAGAGCCUUUUAAAAUGUUUUUAAAAGAAGGCUUUAUUUUUCUCUAUAGAAUGAAAACCAUGUAGCUGGUCUUAUUCUCUAAUCAUGAAGACCAUUAUUGUUAUUUGUGGACUAAGGAGCAGAAAGACUGAUAGUGGACAUAGGCCAGCUGAUUUAAUAAUUUAAGAAAGAACUGUUAUCCUGAGUAAGGAGCAUAGAGACAAAUAUAAAAUGAACGCACUCUACCUGAUUAUAGUCUUCUGGUGAAGAUCUUGCUGUUAUCUCUGUGAAUCAGGAGAGAAGAGAUUGAUAAGGAAUAGACGAGAUUGGAUUUGGUCAUUUCCCCAAGGUGAAGAGCAUGGCGAUUUCUUCUGUGGUAAGGAGCAAUAGUGAAGACCAUGGUUGAUUUAAUCAGUCUCUGCUGAUGAAGAUCUUGGCUGUUACCUUUGUGUAAUGAAUGCGCAGUGAUUCAAUUAUUCUCCAGCGAGGAAGAUCAUGGUUGUUGUCUGUUUGAGUAAUGAGUGUAGAAACCUACAAUGGAGGCGUGAUGGCUGAUGCAAUCAUUUUCCACUGAUGAAGGUUUUGAUGGCUACCUGUAAUGAACAGCCCCAUCUGAUUUAAUCACUGCAAUGACCGUGAACUGUACGGUUACCUCCGUGUGUCACAGGAAGACUCUUUUGACUUAAGCACCCUUCCAUGGUCAUGAGGUUUCUGGUUGCCUCUGUGUUAGAAGCUUGGAGACCAAUGCCUUCUGCUGUGAUCGCGUUCUCCACAGUUGCCUCUGGGUAGGAGCCUGGACACUAAUAGAAAAUGGAUGCACUUGAGCCGACCUAAGCAUUCAUGGUCAUGAGAUUUGUGGUUGCCACUGUUGGUUAGGAGCAUAGAGAUCAGUAAUGGACACACCUGGGCUGGCAGAACAUCUUGCCUUGAUCUGGAGCCCCAUGUCUGCCCCUCUGUAGAGGUGCACAUGGGCCAAUGAUGGAUGCAAUGAGCUGAUCAUUUUGCUGUGAUCAAGGCUAUGUUGCCUCUGUGUUAGGCCAAUAGUUGAUGUUCAUGGGUGAUUGAUCAUCCUGUAGCGACGGUGGUAUUGACUGUUCCCCAGAGGACAAGGAGUGUGUUCUUAUCUACUCAGGAGGCUGAGGCAGGAGAAAUGCUUGAACCCGAGAGGCGGAGGUUGCAGUGAGCUGAGAUUGUGCCAUUGCACUCCAGCCUGGGCAACAAGAGUGAAACUCCAUCUCAAAAGAAAAAAAAAAGAAAACAAAACAAAAAAAGAAAAAACCAAUGUUCCAAUAGUUUCCCAAAUCAUGCUGAUGCUGCCUCCUGAGAAAUAUUUUCAGAAUCACUGAGAAAAAUGUAUGAAAUAGUUAAUGUCCUUGCUCUGUGUCAGUGGUGGAGGCUGUCUGCAGUAGGAGCAUGGAGACCAACAAUGGAUGCUCUUAAACUGAUUUAAGCACGCUUCCAUGGUCAGAAGCCUUAUGGUUGCCACGGGGUAUUAGGAGCAUGGAGACCAAUAAUGGAUGUCCUUGUUCUGAUUUGAGGAUGCCUCCAAGGUCACAUACUCUGUUUGCACCACGCUUAGGAAGGAGCGUGAAGACCAAGGGAAGAUGAUAAACACAGAUCAUGGAGGACUGUUUCAUCUGUUUGUGAUCUGCCGUCCUCUGUGAGCCUCAGGAUGGAUGUUUGCCAGCCGAUUCCAUGGUUACAAGCUCUAUAGCUGCAUCUAUGUGUUAGGAACAUGAAGACCAAUAAUGGAUGCACUGAGCUGAUUAUGAAUUUAGCCCUGAUCAAGACUUGUGUUGCUGUCAUGAUAUGAAAGAUUCCAGUAAUGAACGCACUUGAGUUGAUUCAAGCACGCUUCCAUGGUCAUGAGCUCUGUGGUUGCAUCUGUGUGUUAGGAGCAUGCAGACCAAUAGUGAUAAUCUCGAGGUGAUUUAUGCAUUCUUCCAUGGCCACCAGCCUUAUGGUUGCAUCUGUGCGUCACAGCUUAGAGAUCAAUAAUGGAUGCAACAAGCUGUUUGAACCAUUCUGUUGGGAUCAAGAUUGUUGUGUUGCCUCUGUUUGGAAAGAGACCAAGAAUGGAUACGCUCAGGUGAUUUAAGCAGUCUUCCAUGGCCACGAGCUCUGUGGUUGCCUCUGUAUAUUAAGAGCACAGAGAUUAAAAAUGGGUGCACUUGAGCCGAUUGAAACAUUCCUCCUUGCAUCUUUCUUCUGUGAUUGCAUCUAUUUGUUAGUGGCAUAGAGACCAAUAAUAGAUGGCUUGUGCUGAUGGAAGGAUUCCUCCCUGGUGACAUGCUGUGUCUGCCUCUUGAUUGGGAGCACGCAGACCUACAAUGAUGCACUUUUUAUGAUUUGAGAAUUCCUUCGUGGUCACGUGCUCUGUUUUUAUCAUGGUUGGGAGCCUGCAGAGCAAUAAGGGACAUGCCUUUGCUGGUUUGAGGAUUCCUCUGAGGUUGGGAGCUAAGUUUGCAUCAUGCUUAGAAAGGAGUGUGCAGACCUGUAAUGAUUGCACUUUGCUGAUUGAAGGAUUCCUUAAGUCCAUGUGCUCCACUUGCACCAUUUUUAGGAUGGAGCCUGGAGACCUAUAAUGAACAACUUGUGCUGUGUUAAGGAUUCCUCCAUGAUCACGCGCCCCAUUUGUUCACCAUGCUUGGGAAGGUGCAUGCAGACCAAUGUUAGUAAUAGUCAAAAUUCCUGUGUCGGUUUGUGUGGUUUGCUAAACAGGACUCAAUGUAUCAUGAAACAGUGUAUUAUAUAGUCAACGAUGGUCAACUAUGUCCCAGUGAUAUUUAUGAGAGGGAUCUGAAGUAUUUAUUGAUAAUGCAUAUAUGAAAAACGGAGAAGAAUUAAUGAAACAGAUAUAUCUGUGUUAGAAUGAUUCUGUAUAAAGAUAGGGAAUAUCAAGU